GGGAGGUGUGAUAUUGUCUUCCCUGGAGGUGUGAUCCUGUGCUUCCUGGGAGGUGUGAUAUCAUGGUUACU
rnacentral:pre_miRNA from 1 species